rnacentral:lncRNA from 1 species
AAACUAUGGCAAGUGGAAUUUUUUAGCUACUAUAAUUGAUACGGCUUGUCUUAAGAAAUAAUAAACAUCAUGUUUUUAGGGAGCAGAAGCCUGAGGACAUGAAUGCCCUUUGGAAGAGGACCCUGCAGGGGACAGCAAGAGAGCAUCAAGCUAAAACGAAGGCUCCCUAGCGAGAGCACUUGCAAGGUGAAAAAAAAGGCAAUUUUGGCUAAAAGACUUCGAAUCAGCUGCUGACAUGAGUGGGAGUGGAGUGAAUUCAGCGCUCAAGAAAGCAACCACCACCUCGCAGGCUCUGAAAGAACAGUUCACCCGGGAAGAGACCACUGCAGAGAGAGACACUGCUCACAUUUUAGUCCAAAGGAAGGCUGAUGUCUGGAGGAAGAAAAUCUGCAGCUGCCACCUGAGAUUCCCAACUCCUCAAAAAAGUGCAUGCAGUGAAUGGGACUCCAUUUAGUAGGUUUGCAAAACACUGAAAUACUAUGUAAAAUUAAAAUUAACUACAAUAAUAGAUAAAUACUACUUCUUCAAGAGUCCAUAGAUACCCACUCCUGGUUUGAGCAUGCAGACACGAAUUUGGCAUCCUUUUUCCUCUGGACUAUUAAGUGUUCAGGCUCACUAAGCCCUAACAGUUCUUAGAUCCUGUUGGGGUUGGUCUGAAAAAAAAAGAAAAAAAAAAGAAAAAAAAAAGAAAAAAAAAAAGAAAAGAGCAUUCAAUAAAUGUACUGUCUUUAUUGUUUUGUCA